AUAGUAGCGGGUAAACAUAAUCUGUUGCUGUUUGUGUAUAUCUUUCUUAUUUUUGUAGUGGGAAGCUGCUCAGUCCAGAUAUCGAAAAUGAUUCCACCAAACGCAUCGCUUGUUAAAUAUGAUAACCCAGUUUUGGUUAGUAGGAAUACAGACAAAAAGACACCAAGGGCUCGUGCAUUGAAAGUGAGUCCCACGCCGCCUACUGGCACAGGUCCUGUUCCAAAUCCACCAGCCAAACAGAAACUAGCUCCAGUUGACGCCAAGGCUGCUCAACAAACAGAUGAAAUCCUCAACUCAAUAUUACCUCCAAGAGAAUGGACGGAAAAUGGUCAGUUGUGGGUCCAGCAGGUGUCCAGUACUCCGGCCACACGACUCGAUGUGGUCAACCUUCAGGAAGAGCUUGACCGGAGACUUCAGCAGAGACAAGCAAGAGAAACAGGAAUUUGCCCGGUUAGGAGGGAACUUUACUCUCAGUGUUUUGAUGAAUUGAUUCGUCAAGUGACGAUUAACUGUGCAGAGCGGGGUUUGUUAUUGCUGCGGGUUCGUGAUGAGAUUCGGAUGACAAUCGCUGCAUACCAGACUCUCUAUGAGAGCAGUGUGGCGUUCGGAAUGAGGAAAGCACUGCAGGCUGAACAAGGAAAAGCAAACAUGGAGAAGAAGAUUUCCGAGCUGGAGCAAGAAAAGCGCGAUUUGGAGAAGAAUGUCAACGAGUUGAAAGCAAAAUGUGAACAGAUUGAAAAGCGUGCUGCGGAGCAGAGACAGGUGGAGGAGAAAAAACACACAGAAGAAAUUCAGUUCCUUAAGAGAACCAACCAACAACUUAAGACUUUCACCCGUAUGUUAAACUGAUGGAUGAAAUUGUUUACAAAUUCAAGAGUUCCAUUGUUCAUUGAAUUUUAGAAAUGCACAAAUUCUCAAAACGUUUCCUGAGGUAGGCUCCUCAGACUCCACACACUAGUGACAAACUUCUCAUUUGACAUUUAGACCCAGUUAGAAGGCAUCAUUGCGCCCAAGAAAUAGACAGUUGAUUAAUUGAGCCAGCUGACCGUGAAAAGACUGUUGAUAAACUAUACUAAAUAUCUGAAAAUAGAUCAACAUUUCAGAUGAUUUUGGUUUUUGUCGGCCAAUCCAUGUUUUUUUCUGUAUUGGUUUCGUGGAAAUAAAAAAUGUAAUCUGUGAUAUUUCAACUAAAACGUCACCAUUUUUAAAUAUACAUACCGUACAUUUGUUUGUUUCAUUUUCUAUAGCUUUUUUUUCUUCAAAUGUUUCAUUUCUGUUGUUUAAUUGGUUGUAAUUUGUAUAUAUUAGUAUGUGAGCAAGGCAGUUAAAUUGGGACAUUUCUUCUGUUUUUUAAAUUAUUAUUAUUAUUAUUAUUUAUUAUUAUUAUUAUUAUUAUUACUAUUAUUAUUUUAAGCAAGCAGUUACAUGUUAUCUUCUCAAUGUUAAUAUUAUCAAUUCAAAAACCUUUAAAGUCGGGGAAAAUAUUACAUGAGCUGGGACCUUUUCUAGGAUUGAAUUAUAUGAUGGGGUGGGGGCGGGGAUAGGGGUGGGGGCAGGGAUAGGGGGUGGGGGCGGGGAUAGGGGGGGGGGUGGGGGUACAUUAAAAUUGUUUUAAAACCGAGUAGCCACAAAUAUAAUUAAACAAUUUUCAGUAUUAUAAAAUACAAUAGGAUCAAAGUAUACAAUCUGUGGGGGAGGACAAUUGAUCAACAUAUGUUUACCAUUUAAAGAUUUUAUUGAUCAAUAAUAAUAUAUGCAGAUAUGAAUUAUUGUCAUAAACACUCUUUAAACAUACUUUGUGCAAGUGAUGGGAUUGUAAGUCACUGAUUUCAAGUCAACCCAACUUUGACUAAUCAAACCAAACCAAUGAUAAUACCGUAAUUUAAAAAACAAAAGAGAGAGAAAAAACAUGCCAAACAUGUGGAUCUCUAAGAUAAAAUAAAAUAAUUUGUAAACAUUGUUUACUUGUGUCAUGGACCGACAGCUGGAUUUGUUCAUGUCUACUUGUUACCAAAAUAUCAGUAGUCUAUUUUUUUAACUUUUUUUUCUUCGUUUAAAUGUACCAGUAGUUAAUUUCUGAGAAUUCACAUACAUAUAACAGGAGGGAUGGAAAGCUAUAUAUUUUAAAAUAAAUAAAUAAAAUUAAAAUUGUUUUAGGGUUUUUAAGAAAUGUUUAACAUUGAGACAGUGACAUGGUAGUCGCUAAGGCAGUGAUGUGUUUAAAGAAAGAAUCUAUGCACUGUCAUUAAAUAUUGUGUAUAAAAGCAAUAAAUUAAGUCAGUUAUACAA